AAAAUUCGAGUUACGAAGGCACUUAAUGGCAAUAUUUCCUGCCGUGUUACGGCAAAAUGCCCGCGUAGCGAAAUCCGCUGGCUUUGAUUGGCUGAGCCCAGAAUGCCUACAAUGCCCACAAUGCCUUCCGAAUCAUGUGACAACCCCCUUGGCUUUCGUACUUGCGCUUCGCUAUUCCACUUGAACAACGUAUUGUUGUUGCCGUUAGCAAUUAGCCUAUAGCCUAUCGUUCACUCAAAAGGUGCGAUGGGUGCUUCGACUUAGGAAAAUUUUCGACUUACGAAAGACCCUCGGGAAGGAAUUAAUUUCAUUGAAGGACACACAGAGUGAAGACGCUGACACGGUGGCCCGUAAUGACAGAUCUGCUAAAAUAACGGCGUCUUGCGUCCCGCUGGUGUUGCCGUGCAUUCAACGCUUACAGGGAGAGGCGGAGAAAGAAACACGAGAGGAGGAGGAGGGAGACGUAAAAACAGUUGGAGACAGACGGGUGGGUGGACUUUCUGGCUGUGGACACAAUACUGCGAUGCUGCUGGAGGAAACAGGGACGAGCUGCAGUGAGAGAUGGAGGCAUGCUGACUGAUGGAGAUAUUCAAGUAACACACAAAAAAGUAUGUGGAUAUCUCUGAGUGGCUGCAGGGAUGAAGCAGUAAAGAGAAAGAUGCCCCUCUCAUCAUAUCGGCACAUACAUCUACUACCUACCUGCAAGCCCAAGAUCAUAGAAGUUCACUGCUGACCGUGGAGAUGAAGACAGUGCUUUUGCUGCUGUGACAACAUCCACAGCCACCGCAGCUAACAAGCACAUCUGGGAGCGGACUCGGAAUGGGAGAUGGUUAAAGUGACCUCUCCACUUUCACUGUGCUCUGAAGAAUAUUAGACUUCAGGGACCAGCAAACACCAGCCGGAGGUUUCACUCGAUGUGUCAAAUGUAUUUGUUCAGCAUGUGGAUAUUUCACUUUAUCGCCGGACGAUUAUUUCCCGUGUGCGUGUGGAAGCAGCAGAUUGGUAGUUGGCUGUUAGCAAGUGGGCAGAAAAAACAGCACCCCAUCAUAUGUCACAUGAAUCUUUAAUCCUUAUUAUGUAAGGCUAAUGUCACAUACGAUCCACUAAUGAGGCUGCCAUCGUGAGCUUUUCAUAUAUUAUUGAUCACACUGAGCCUGCAGCUCAGCUGAUUUUCUCACUUAUAACCAGAAAGACAUGCAGAGUCACAACUCUGAGCUACAGAUUUCUGCCUUUUUUCAACAAAACAUUUGAAACCAGACCUGCAGGUGCUGGAUGGUGACACGUCAAAGGUCCCGAGUGACAACUAACCAUCGAUGUGUCGAUGACCCGCCAAAGAAAAGCCGGCCGACUUAUUGCUUUAGCUUCGCUGGGAACGUCAGCCGCCCUCAUUCGUCAUCUAGCUGUGCUAACAUGUUGUCAAGACUGAGGGAGACCACGAAGAUGAAUGGGAAAAUAAUAAUAUAGCAAUAAUCAUGUAAAGUCAAACUAAAUCUGUGAUAAAUCUUAAAAACAUCCAAAAUGGUUUUCUAAAAAGGAACAGUGAUACCGUUUGAGGGGGAAUUAAAUUUAAAACAUCCCUGUAUCAGUACAACAAUAAAGAAGUUUUUGCAUCUCUGUGUGUGGAGUGAAGCUGUGGAAUAGACUAACGGAAGAACUGAAGUGUCGUCCCAGCAUGACUCGGUUUAAAAAUAUGGUUUUUGUGAAGUACAGGGAGGAGGCUGGGCUCUGAUCGGGUGUAUCACCCACUAUUUCCACAACAGUGAUGUGUAUAUAGGUAACAACAAGAUGAACAGGGCAUAAACAACAAGUGUUGACUAUUAGUUACUGAAUAGUGGAAAGAGGGGUGGAGUUAAAUAAGUUGGUGCUUCUUCCUGCUCCUUUUUGAACAU